rnacentral:rRNA from 1 species
GAUAAACGCUGGCGGCGUGCUUGAGACAUGCAAGUCGAACGAAGGAUCGGGCUUGCUCGGGCCUUAGUGGCGGACGGCUGGGUAACGCGUAGGUGACCUACCCCGCAGUGGGGAAUAACUGCCCGAAAGGGUGGCUAAUAACGCACGGGGUGGCACGUUCAUUCGUGCGAGUGAAGCGGCAAGGCGCUUCGGGAGGGGCCGGCGUCCGGUUAGCUCGGUGGUGGGGUGAUGGCUUACCAAGGCGACGAUCGGUAGGUGGGCUGGGAGGAGGCGCACUCAGGCUGGGACUGCGACACGGCCCAGACUCGUACGGGAGGCAGCAGUCGGGAAUUCUGCUCAAUGGGGGCAGACCUGAAGCAGCCACGCCGCGGGAGGGAUGAAGGCCUUCGGGUUGUAAACCCCUUUUGUCAGGGACGAUGAUGACGGUACCUGGCGAAUAAGCCACGGCUAACUACGUG